GCCAAAUUGGCUCAGUUGGUAGAGCAUUUCAUUCGUAAUGAAAGGGUCGCCGGUUCGAGUCCGGCAUUUGGCU
rnacentral:tRNA from 3 species